rnacentral:rRNA from 1 species
GACGAACGCUGGCGGCGUGCUUAACACAUGCAAGUCGAACGGAAAGGCCCUGCUUUUGUGGGGUGCUCGAGUGGCGAACGGGUGAGUAACACGUGAGUAACCUGCCCUUGACUUUGGGAUAACUUCAGGAAACUGGGGCUAAUACCGGAUAGGAGCUCCUGCUGCAUGGUGGGGGUUGGACAGUUUCGGCGGUUGGGGAUGGACUCGCGGCUUAUCAGCUUGUUGGUGGGGUAGUGGCUUACCAAGGCUUUGACGGGUAGCCGGCCUGAGAGGGUGACCGGCCACAUGGGGACUGAGAUACGGCCCAGACUCCUACGGGAGGCAGCAGUGGGGAAGAUGGCACAAGGGGCGGAAGCCUGAGACAGCAACGCCGCGUGCGGGAAGACGGCCUUCGGGGUGUAAACCGCUUUCGCCUGUGACGAAGCGUGAGUGACGGUAAUGGGUAAAGAAGCACCGGCUAACUACGUG